GGCCGGGUUAGCUCAGUUCGUGGAGCAUGGGAUUAUUGAUCCCAGGGUCGUGGGUUCAAGCCCCACACCGAGAGCCA